rnacentral:rRNA from 1 species
CGACCGCUGGCGGCGUGCUUACCACAUGCACGUCGCACGGCAAGGCCUGCUUUCCCUUGUGGAUUGCGGGUACUCGAGUGGCGAACGGGUGAGUAACACGUGAGUGAUCUGCCCCCAACUUGGGUAUAAGCCUGGGAAACUGGGUCUAAUUCCCGAUAGGACUGCAGGGUGGUGCCUGUGGUGGAAAACGAUUUUCUAGUGGUUGGGGAUGAGCUCGCGGCCUAUCAGCUUGUUGGUGGGGUAAUGGCCUACCAAGGCGGCGACGGGUAGCCGGCCUGAGAGGGUGGACGGCCACAUUGGGACUGAGAUACGGCCCAGACUCCUACGGGAGGCAGCAGUGGGGAAUAUUGCACAAUGGGCGGAAGCCUGAUGCAGCGACGCCGCGUGGGGGAUGACGGCCUUCGGGUUGUAAACUCCUUUCGACCGCGAGGAAGCCACCUGGUUGGAAGGGUGGUGACGGUAGUGGUAGAAGAAGCACCGGCUAACUACGUG